ACUUGAGAUAAAGUAGUUAUUGCGAUUUUAUUCUGGCAGUCUUUGAUAAGCUCUUCCAAGUUUAUUUCUGUUAGAAUAUUGUCCUCAAUGCUCAUCAGAGCAAAAUGGCUGAGUUUACUGUGAUUCGUUGUCAUACGUGGUCUGUUCUUCAUCAGCUGAAAUUGAUCCAACAAAUAAACUAAAUGCUUUUCCUUCGUCUUUAAAGCAACUAUGUUUAUUCUUCCUUUGAAUAAUGUGUGAAGGCCCUUGUUUGUGGAGGCUUCUAGACAGCUUCCUUUGGUUAAUCCGUCCCUGCUCCUGAGAGGAACUACUGUAGCAUCAAGUGAUGUUAUAGUAGGUGAGAUAAAAGUGGGUAAUUCACUUGAGAAACGUUCAAAUGAAUUACCUCAAAUAUAUAUUAUAGAGUAUACAAGAUAUUGCAACAUGGGGGCAAAAUGUUGCUGAAUCUUCAAAUGCGAUGAUGUUUUAUAAACCUUCGUACCUUACCGUAAUAAUUAAACAACAACCUUUUCAAUGAAAUCGAGCAGAGAAUAUAUUGCAUGAGACAUUCGUUAAUUAUCUUGUUUUUAUCUAGGUAUUUUUGAAUUAUAUCGCAUGUAAUAAAUCGUUUGACAAUGUUACAGAACACUGCAUGUGUUAUAACAUUGAAGGGUGUUACAGCACAAUGCACGGUUCAAACGAUAAGCUUUCCGCGAGUCUUAUAAUCUUCAAAGAGUUGUUCACUUAACAUACAUGUUCAGUCAUGUACAGUGUCGAGCGUACGGACAGUGAAAGAACGCGAACUCUGGCAGUGGUAUGUGCUAAACAAUUGUUUUUUCCAUUAAACAAAUAACUCCUUCUUCAGUCUUUUUUUAGGUACAAGACAUGAAGAUGAGGAAGAAGAUAGAGGAGUACGUUAUUAUUUUUCCUGUCCUUAUCUUAACUUGUUUUUAGAUUUUUCGUUUAGAUGAGGAGGAGGCUGAUGAAAAGUAGAGGAGGAUGCUGACGGAGAGACAAGAAGGAUGCAGAUGAAGAGACGAGGAUGCAGAUGAAGAGAAAAGGAGGAUGCACAUGAAGAGACGAGGAUGCAGAUAAAGAGAAAAGGAGGAUGCAGAUGAAGGGACGAGGAGGAUGAAAAUGAAUGGACAAGGAGGAUUAAGAACGGACAAGGAGGAUCAAGAAGGAUAUAGAGAAACAUGUCGAGCGUACGGACAGUGAAAGAACGCGAACUCUGGCAGUGGUGGGUGCUUACAAUUGUUUGUUUCCAUCAAACAAAUAACUUCUUCUUCAGUCUUUUUUUAGGUACAAGAGAUGAAGAUCAAGAAGAAGAUAGAGAGGAGUACGUUAUUUUUUCCUGUCCUAAUCUUAACUUGUUUUUAGAUUUUUCGUUUAGAUGAGGAGGAGGCUGAUGAAAAGAAGAGGAUGCUGACGGAGAGACG